UACGGGGGGAGCAAGCGUUGUUCGGAUUUACUGGGCGUAAAGGGCGGGUAGGCGGCCACCGCAAGUCAGUUGUGAAAUCUCCGGGCUUAACCCGGAAAGGUCAACUGAUACUGCGGGGCUAGAGUGCAGAAGGGGCAACUGGAAUUCUCGGUGUAGCGGUGAAAUGCGUAGAGAUCGGAAAGAACACCAACGGCGAAAGCACUCUGCUGGGCCGACACUGACACUGAGAGACGAAAGCUAGGGGAGCGAAUGGG
rnacentral:rRNA from 1 species